GGACAAGCUGCCAAAAAAAAAAAAGCAAACUGACCAAUAAGAUUUAGACUUUGGGUGCCCUUUGACCCCCACAGACUCACACUGAUGUGCGCUACAUACAAGAUGUUUUGGCACAAAAGAACUUUUUCUUCUCCAUAAUUUUGUUAAUAGUAAAGAGGGUUGGAUAAUAAAAAUACAAUAACUUUUCUUUUUUUAAUUUAAAGGAAAAUCUCAGUGCGUCCAGCUGUACAGCUGCUGCUGCAACAAUCCAAACUCUCAGUCACUUGUGGGCAAUUUAGAACCACACAGAAAAGCUCCAAAAAGGAAUCAAACUCAAAACUCUGAACUAAGAACUUCUGAUCACAUAAUAGCAAUUAACCAUAGCUGCCAUGGUAAAUUAUUACUGAUAACUAUUGUCAGUAGUCCCUAACAUUAACAUGAUCAGGCAGCAUGUAAUCAUA